UACGGAGGGUGCAAGCGUUAUCCGGAAUCACUGGGCGUAAAGGGCGUGUAGGUGGUUUGUUAAGUCUGGUUUUAAAGACCGGGGCUCAACCCCGGAAGUGGACUGGAUACUGGCAAACUAGACGACUGGAGGGGCGGGUGGAAUUCUCGGUGGAGCGGUGGAAUGCGUAGAUACCGAGAGGAACACCAGUGGCGAAGGCGGCCCGCUGGACAGUCCGUGACACUGAGGCGCGAAAGUGUGGGGAGCAAACCGG
rnacentral:rRNA from 1 species